AUGGCUGUCCCGCACAGGCGAGGUCGCGUGGCGGCGCACCAUGGAGCCGGCAGAUGCAGCCGCGGCAGUGAGAAACUUGGAUGGCGUCCAUGGCGUUCUUCUAUGGUUGUGGGGGCGAAAGUGGGCUCUGGCUGCUCGUGGUCGAGCGUCGUCGCCGCUAGCGUGCACGCGACCAACGGCCCGGCGUCCAUGGUGUUCUUCUGCGGAUGGUGGGCGAGCGCAACGGCGAGUUGCGAAUCGAGCUCCGAGAGGUGGCAUCUGGGGCCAUGGCCUCGAGCCCAGGUGCGGCCAGGGCGCUCCACCGCAGGGCACCGCCGCGACCAGGGCUUCCCAGCAGGCGCCGCGAGCACGGGCGUGGCCAUGGCACUCCACAAUGGCGCGCGCUGCUAG
rnacentral:rRNA from 1 species